AAAGAACACGCAAAGCAAACCCAGUCACCCCCAACAAACACGAGACAAGCCGUGUGCAAACAAUAGUCGGUGUGAACCCCCAAAGAUGAGGAAUAUUAUAAUCAGAUCGCCAUCAUCGUUUUCUCGCGGGUGACAUCAUCAUGGCUUGCUCGUUUUCUCGCGGGUCUCUGCUUCCUCUCGCCAUCAUCGUUUCCUUAGUAUUUCACUGAUCCUAGACCAUUGGAACCAGAAAGAUUGAAGGCGCUUCGCAACCAGUGGGCAAAGUACUAUUUGAAAGUGAAAAAUGAAACUUAGGAUGUUUAGACAAUCUUGUAAUUGUAGUUUAUAUUUACUUACUUAAUUUACAAUUCAUGUCUCAACAUUAAAUAUGUUUUAAAUUCAUAGUAAUUAGUAAAUUUCUUAUUGAAUUUUCUGGUAAAAA